GCGAACUCGGGGCCGGCUGCCGCGGUAAGACAGGGGGUGCGGGAGGUGGCCGAAAUAACGUGGCGUAAAGGGCGGGUAGGCGGCCUGAUAAGAAGGGGGGGAAAUCCUGUGGCUCAACUGCAGGGCAGCCUCCUGGACUGGCGGGCUCGGGCACGGUAGAGGCAGGUGGAAUUCCCGGUGUAGCGGUGGAAUGCGUAGAGAUCGGGAAGAACAUCGGUGGCGAAGGCGGUCUGCUGGGCCGUUGCUGACGCUGAGGCGCGACAGCGUGGGGAGCAAACAGGAUUAGAUACCCGAGUAGUC
rnacentral:rRNA from 1 species